AGACGAAAUAUGUUCUUGAGCAGUACUUACAGGAAUGAUUGUCAUAAAAGAAAGUUGGCCUAUGAAUUAUUUAAUGUGAAGUAUUUUAAAGAAAAUGAUUGAAAAGAACAUUCAAUGACAUAAAGAGGCAUGUCGUUCCCGAACAAGGCAGCGCGCCAGGCUUGCUGGGACGCCCGCGACCAGUUCUGGGCGUGCCUAGACGCUAACGCCGAGAACGCGGCGCCCUGCAGCCACCUGCGCGAGCUGUACGAAAAGGGCUGCCCCAGCCAAUGGGUUAAACACUUCGACAGGAAACGAAGUUAUGAGAAGUUCAAGGACAAAAUACAGAACCAAGGGUAUGAACCUGUCAAUGAUGACCGGCAAAAGGCGUCAGCCUGAGACGUUAACCCGUCCUGCGCCCUAGUUACUAACUGAUAUACCAUGCAUUGCGAUUGUUGUUUGUUGUACAAUUCUGCUCGCCAUGCGCGUUAGGAUGACCAGGGGAUUCCGCUCGGUUGGACAAUGGGCCCCCCUUCCAACGAAAUGUCAGGUCGGGGUCACGUCUGCGUCGCUCCAUCACCCAUGACCCAACAAAGGCAGAUCGUACUCACCGCACACUGCCGAGAUCCACUGGGCGUGCUCGUGAUCGAUACAUUUCUGACAUGCCAAGAAACGCUACUGAAACCAGUCGGAAGUUUCCGUCUCACCUUGGGACACGCGUGGUAUUUCUGGUGUAGUUUUUCAUGAAAUGCCAGGCGGUUCUAGCACGUGUCCAGUGUCAAUAUUUACGAAUAUCAGAAAUAAACGCCGGGUCACCGCA
rnacentral:misc_RNA from 1 species